rnacentral:rRNA from 1 species
UACAGAGGUGGCGAGCGUUAUUCGGAAUUAUUGGGCGUAAAGGGCGCGUAGGCGGCCAAGCAAGUCCUGGGUGAAAUCCCUCGGCUCAACCGAGGAACUGCCUCGGAAACUGCAUGGCUUGAGGCCGGGAGAGGGUAGCGGAAUUCCAGGUGUAGCGGUGAAAUGCGUAGAUAUCUGGAGGAACACCGGUGGCGAAGGCGGCAUCCUGGACCAAUAUUGACGCUGAGGAGCGAAAGCCAGGGGAGCAAACGGG